CGAACGGGUGAGUAACGCGUGAGGAACCUGCCUCAAAGAGGGGGACAACAGUUGGAAACGACUGCUAAUACCGCAUAAGCCCACGGGUCGGCAUCGACCAGAGGGAAAAGGAGCAAUCCGCUUUGAGAUGGCCUCGCGUCCGAUUAGCUAGUUGGUGAGGUAACGGCCCACCAAGGCGACGAUCGGUAGCCGGACUGAGAGGUUGAACGGCCACAUUGGGACUGAGACACGGCCCAG
rnacentral:rRNA from 1 species